GAGUGAGUGGGUGGAUGAGUGAGCGGGUGAACGAUUGAGCGAGCGAGUGGGAGAGAGAUUGAGCGGGCGAGCGAGUGUUUGGUUGAGUGGACGAGCGAGCUGCAACGGCAACGAUCGACGGGCUCUUCGCCAAACGCCCGCGCACCCACGUGACUAUUACAUUUGUUUGGCCGCGUCGGGCGGCGGGCGGGGGUUCUUGCAUGACACAAACAUUCUCGCGAUCAUCAUUACGCGUGAACCCGAAAUAAAUCGAUGACGAAUCGCGACAGCGGGGCCGCGCCCAGCUGCCGGGCCCGCGACUACAACCGCGGCCGGUAGCUUCCUUCCCGCGGCCCCAUUGCCCUCGAUUCGUCUCACGCGGGGGAGCGGGGGGGGGGGGGAGGUCAAUGGGCGUCACGGUCCGCGCGAAAAACAAUUGAACUGCAGCACGGUGGAAUUUAUGUUGCAUGUAGAGAGGUCCCGAGGCGUUUGACAACGGGAGAAAAAAAACAAACAAAACUGGAGCUAUUUAUCUCUGAAGUUAAACGACACUCGACACUCUCACCCCCGCCCCCCCCCCCCCCUGCCUGAGUUAUUGUACGCAUUUUCUAAUUUGACAUUUCUCAAACGUUUAGUUGCGUAGCCUGCGAGACCACGCUCGCAGUGUGUCUCCGACCCUCGUGCCUGGCUUGGGUCAACCCUUUGGCCUGGGGCCGUGCAGGCACGAGAGGGUAGUGUUGGGGGCAGGGGCUGGGGAUUCCCUCGCCUCUGCCGUGUGGCGACUCCGGGUCCCGCGCCUUGCCUGGCCGUGACCCGCGCUGUCGGUGGCCGAGCCGGUUGGGGGCAGGAAUCCAUUUGUACCGAGGCCUGGUUGCCGGCGUUGCCGGAGAGACCGCGGUCACGGCCCGAUCGUCGAUCUCGUGCCGACCGAAGAACCGCUCGGGUUCGGGGAGACGCUGCGGGAGCCUCGGCGGCGAUGACCCCUGGGGCACUUCACGGUCUAAGCGGUGCCCCCCACCCCGACCCACCCCGUGGUGCCCGUGGUUCACUUGGCGCCGCCGCUGAGGACGCGGCUCCUUAUAGCUCGGCCUCCUCCAUCGACGCGGUUGGGGGGGGUGGGGGGUCACUGCGUCCGCACGCGAAGUCGCCCCGCGGGGAGAGGACGGCCGUAGCCGGGAAGAAUCAAAGCCAUUGCGAGCCAGGGUCCAGUGCCCCCCCCCCCACCCAGCGGGCAGAAUUCCCAAAACUCCACGCCUUGGGAAUCCACCCCCCACCCCUCACCUGCAACGCUGCUGCGUCUAUCCGCGUAGAUCAAUCGGCACCUCCACAUUCGAAACUAAAAACUAUCACAGAGUUUUUGUAUUGUACCAGGUAGAUCAAUCGACUCCUGCCCAUUCGAAACUAAAAACUAUCACAGAGUUUUUGUAUUGUACCAGGUAGAUCAAUCGACUCCUGCCCAUUCGAAACUAAAAACUAUCCCAGAGUUUUUGUACUGUACCAGGUAAGGACCCACUGAGCUGUAGAGCUGUUUCUCAGAACCGACCUGGCCGCUCAACGAAGUGGCUCAUCACGUGGAAACGUACAGCAACCAAACACUCCAAACGCGUGAUGUUGAUUCUGGAGACAAGUCCACGUGAUCACGGGGAGAGAGAGAGAGACACCGCAAACCCCAAAUAUACAGCAGCAGCAGGUGUCAAGAUCAGGAUCGAACCCACGACCUCCUGCACACCGGGCGAGGUAGUCAACAUCUCCUAGCCACCGUGGCGCCCCACAAAUCAACUCGUUCCACGCUGCUGCACGCGUCUGAUCAUUUGACGCUUUUCUGUGUCGUGUGGCACACACGGAAUCGGCUCCGUUUUCGCGGCGCUCGUCGCUGAGCGCAUCGCGUGGGUCCUGCUGAACAAUCAUCGGCUGCGUGCAUGCAGCGGGGAGCGAGUUCAUUCGUUGGUAAACGUGGAAAGACGGAGUGUGGUCGUGGUGGUGGGUCUUGAGGAUUGGAGUUUAGGAAACCGUGGCGUGGGGAUAACCUCUCGUCUGCUAACCGCUGAGCGUAUCUUACCCCCAACCACCACAUUCCUUCCCCCAUUUCCCCACGAGCCCUCCGUGAAUCCAGCUCAGCGAUGAGCACCGAGCCGCCCUGGAUCCUGCUCGCAAACCCCCCCCCCCCCCGGAGCGGAGCACCCCAGCCCACGGAGCCGGAGUUCGAACCCCCCUCCCCCUCGAUUGAUCUCCUUCGGUGGCGGAACUCGCGCAGAGAGCUGAGCGCGUCGAGGCGGUGACCUGUUGCCGUCGCCAGAGCCCCUGCUCCCAACGCUAACCCUUCAACCCCAACUCGAGCCGUGAUCCCACCGUCAACACUUACCCCGAGUCUGAUCUGCUCCACACCCCUAAAGCAAAUCAACAAUCUGGUCCUAACCCUACCUGUCCCCGAGUGCUAACUCUGACCAUAGAACUAAUCCCACCCACCCCAUGGCACCGACCUCAACAGGCACUCCAGCCAGAGUCCGAAGCCCCCCACGGUGACCACCACAGCUACCAUCGUCACCGCCAUCAUCGUCACCACCACCACCAUCGUUAUGAUUAUUAUUGUAAUUGUUAAGGAUUUACUGUGUUUUAAGUAUGCGAAGCUUCUUUAAGGCUGCUAUAUUGUAAUGAGAAUUGCAACUGAAAUUUAAAAUACGAAAUGUACUCGAGAGUAUCUGAGA